UGGGGAAUUGUUCGCAAUGGGCGCAAGCCUGACGACGCAACGCCGCGUGGAGGAUGAAGAUCUUCGGGUCGUAAACUCCUGUCGAAUGGGACGAACGGACUGUGGGUGAACAAUCCGCAGUCGUGACGGUACCGUUAAAGGAAACCCCGGCUAACUCCGUGCCAGCAGCCGCGGUAAUACGGGGGGGGUAAGCGUUGUUCGGAAUUACUGGGCGUAAAGGGCUCGUAGGCGGCCAACUAAGUCAGACGUGAAAUCCCUCAGCUUAACUGGGGAACUGCGUCUGAUACUGGAUGGCUUGGAUUUGGGAGAGGGAUGCGGAAUUCCAGGUGUAGCGGUGAAAUGCGUAGAUAUCUGGAGGAACACCGGUGGCGAAGGCGGCAUCCUGGACCAACAUUGACGCUGAGGAGCGAAAGCCAGGGGAGCAAACGG
rnacentral:rRNA from 1 species